CCUACGGGCGGCAGCAGUGGGGGAUAUUGCACAAUGGGGGGAACCCUGAUGCAGCGACGCCGCGUGGGUGAAGAAGCGCCUCGGCGCGUAAAGCCCUGUCAGCCGGGAAGAAAAUGACGGUACCUGAAGAAGAAGCCCCGGCUAACUACGUGCCAGCAGCCGCGGUAAUACGUAGGGGGCAAGCGUUAUCCGGAUUUACUGGGGGUAAGGGGGGCGGAGACGGCGAUGCAAGCCAGGAGUGAAAGCCCGGGGCCCAACCCCGGGACUGCUCUGGGAACUGCGUGGCUGGAGUGCAGGAGGGGCAGGAGGAAGUCCUGGUGUAGCGGUGAAAUGCGUAGAUAUCAGGAGGAACACCGGUGGCGAAGGCGGCCUGCUGGACUGCAACUGACGUUGAGGCCCGAAAGCGUGGGGAGCAAACAGGAUUAGAUACCCGUGUAGUC
rnacentral:rRNA from 1 species